CGGAAACAUGUCUAGCCUGCUAGAUGAUGUCGAGUGGCGGACGGGUGAGUAAUACUUAGGAACAUGCCUUUGGGUGGGGGAUAACUAUUGGAAACGAUAGCUAAUACCGCAUGACGUCUACGGACCAAAGGGGGCUUCGGCUCCCGCCCAGAGAGUGGCCUAAGCGAGAUUAGCUAGUUGGUGUGGUAAAGGCUCACCAAGGCGACGAUCUCUAGCUGUUCUGAGAGGAAGAUCAGCCACACUGGAACUGAGACACGGUCCAGACUCCUACGGGAGGCAGCAGUGGGGAAUAUUGCACAAUGGGGGAAACCCUGAUGCAGCCAUGCCGCGUGUGUGAAGAAGGCCUUCGGGUUGUAAAGCACUUUCAGUUGUGAGGAAAGUUUGAUGGUUAAUACCCAUUAGAUGUGACGUUAACAACAGAAGAAGGACCGGCUAACUCCGUGCCAGCAGCCGCGGUAAUACGGAGGGUCCGAGCGUUAAUCGGAAUUACUGGGCGUAAAGCGCACGCAGGCGGUUUGUUAAGCUAGAUGUGAAAGCCCUGGGCUCAACCUGGGAAUUGCAUUUAGAACUGGCAGGCUAGAGUUUUGGAGAGGGGAGUGGAAUUCCAGGUGUA
rnacentral:rRNA from 1 species